rnacentral:rRNA from 1 species
AUUGGCGGCGGACGGGUGAGUAACACGUGGGCAACCUGCCUGUAAGACUGGGAUAACUUCGGGAAACCGGAGCUAAUACCGGAUAAUCCUUUCCCUCACAUGAGGGAAAGCUGAAAGACGGUUUCGGCUGUCACUUACAGAUGGGCCCGCGGCGCAUUAGCUAGUUGGUGAGGUAACGGCUCACCAAGGCGACGAUGCGUAGCCGACCUGAGAGGGUGAUCGGCCACACUGGGACUGAGACACGGCCCAGACUCCUACGGGAGGCAGCAGUAGGGAAUCUUCCGCAAUGGACGAAAGUCUGACGGAGCAACGCCGCGUGAGCGAAGAAGGCCUUCGGGUCGUAAAGCUCUGUUGUCAGGGAAGAACAAGUGCCGGAGUAACUGCCGGCACCUUGACGGUACCUGACCAGAAAGCCACGGCUAACUACGUGCCAGCAGCCGCGGUAAUACGUAGGUGGCAAGCGUUGUCCGGAAUUAUUGGGCGUAAAGCGCGCGCAGGCGGUCCUUUAAGUCUGAUGUGAAAGCCCACGGCUCAACCGUGGAGGGUCAUUGGAAACUGGGGGACUUGAGUGCAGAAGAGGAGAGUGGAAUUCCACGUGUAGCGGUGAAAUGCGUAGAGAUGUGGAGGAACACCAGUGGCGAAGGCGACUCUCUGGUCUGUAACUGACGCUGAGGCGCGAAAGCGUGGGGAGCGAACAGGAUUAGAUACCCUGGUAGUCCACGCCGUAAACGAUGAGUGCUAAGUGUUAGAGGGUUUCCGCCCUUUAGUGCUGCAGCAAACGCAUUAAGCACUCCGCCUGGGGAGUACGGCCGCAAGGCUGAAACUCAAAGGAAUUGACGGGGGCCCGCACAAGCGGUGGAGCAUGUGGUUUAAUUCGGAAGCAACGCGAAGAACCU